UCUUAUAGAUGAGUAAAGGGUGGUUUCUUUAGAUGGAAUCUACACCUGGUGAAGAUACUGUGAA
rnacentral:pre_miRNA from 2 species